AACGAACGCUGGCGGCAGGCUUAACACAUGCAAGUCGAACGCCCCGCAAGGGGAGUGGCAGACGGGUGAGUAACGCGUGGGAAUCUACCUAGUUCUACGGAACAACAGAGGGAAACUUCUGCUAAUACCGUAUACGCCCUACGGGGGGAAAGAUUUAUCGGAAUUAGAUGAGCCCGCGUAAGAUUAGCUAGUUGGUGGGG
rnacentral:rRNA from 1 species